rnacentral:rRNA from 1 species
UACGUAGGGUGCAAGCGUUGUCCGGAAUUAUUGGGCGUAAAGAGCUCGUAGGCGGUCUGUCGCGUCUGCUGUGAAAACCAGGUGCUUAACACCUGGCUUGCUUUCGAUACGGGCAGACUAGAGGUAUUCAGGGGAGAACGGAAUUCCUGGUGUAGCGGUGAAAUGCGCAGAUAUCAGGAGGAACACCGGUGGCGAAGGCGGUCUCUGGAGUA